UUGUCUCAAAGAUUAAGCCAUGCAUGUCUCAGUACAAGCCGAAUUAAGGUGAAACCGCGAAAGGCUCAUUAAAUCAGUUAUGGUUCCUUAGAUCGUACCCACAUUUACUUGGAUAACUGUGGUAAUUCUAGAGCUAAUACAUGCAAACAGAGCUCCAACCGGAAACGGAAGGAGCGCUUUUAUUAGAUCAAAACCAAUCGGUGGCGGUUCGUCCGUCAUCGUACAACUUGGUGACUCUGAAUAACUUUAAGCUGAUCGCACGGUCUCGCACCGGCGACGCAUCUUUCAAAUGUCUGCCUUAUCAACUGUCGAUGGUAGGUUCUGCGCCUACCAUGGUUGUAACGGGUAACGGGGAAUCAGGGUUCGAUUCCGGAGAGGGAGCCUGAGAAACGGCUACCACAUCCAAGGAAGGCAGCAGGCGCGCAAAUUACCCACUCCCGGCACGGGGAGGUAGUGACGAAAAAUAACGAUACGGGACUCAUCCGAGGCCCCGUAAUCGGAAUGAGUACACUCUAAACCCUUUAACGAGGAUCAAUUGGAGGGCAAGUCUGGUGCCAGCAGCCGCGGUAAUUCCAGCUCCAAUAGCGUAUAUUAAAGUUGUUGCGGUUAAAAAGCUCGUAGUCGAAUCUGUGUCCCGCGCCGCCGGUUCAUCGUUCGCGGUGUUAACUGGCGUGUCGCGGGACGUCCUGCCGGUGGGCUUAGCUCGCGAGGGCGGCCCAACUCAAUCCCGCCGCGGUGCUCUUCAUUGAGUGUCGAGGUGGGCCGGCACGUUUACUUUGAACAAAUUAGAGUGCUUAAAGCAGGCUAAAACUUCGCCUGAAUACUGUGUGCAUGGAAUAAUGGAAUAGGACCUCGGUUCUAUUUUGUUGGUUUUCGGAACCCCGAGGUAAUGAUUAAUAGGAACGGAUGGGGGCAUUCGUAUUGCGACGUUAGAGGUGAAAUUCUUGGAUCGUCGCAAGACGGACAGAAGCGAAAGCAUUUGCCAAAAACGCUUUCAUUGAUCAAGAACGAAAGUUAGAGGUUCGAAGGCGAUCAGAUACCGCCCUAGUUCUAACCAUAAACGAUGCCAGCUAGCGAUCCGCCGACGUUCCUCCGAUGACUCGGCGGGCAGCUUCCGGGAAACCAAAGCUUUUGGGUUCCGGGGGAAGUAUGGUUGCAAAGCUGAAACUUAAAGGAAUUGACGGAAGGGCACCACCAGGAGUGGAGCCUGCGGCUUAAUU
rnacentral:rRNA from 1 species